UACGGAGGGUGCAAGCGUUAUCCGGAUUCACUGGGUUUAAAGGGUGCGUAGGAGGGCAGGUAAGUCAGUGGUGAAAUCUCCAAGCUUAACUUGGAAACUGCCGUUGAUACUAUCUGUCUUGAAUAUUGUGGAGGUGAGCGGAAUAUGUCAUGUAGCGGUGAAAUGCUUAGAUAUGACAUAGAACACCCAUUGCGAAGGCAGCUUACUACACGAUCAUUGACGCUGAGGCACGAAAGCGUGGGGAGCAAACAGG
rnacentral:rRNA from 1 species